CCGCACCAGAGCGCUCAGGACAUCAGACUGGGGUGUAGGUUCACCUUCCCACCGGACAAUGACACUAAGCACACAGCCAAGACCACACAGGAGUGGCUUCGGGGUAAGUCUCUGAAUGUCCUUGAGUGGCUCAGCCAGAGCCUGGACUGGAACCCAACCGAACAUUUCUGGAGAGAACUAAAAAUAGCUGAGCAGCAACAUUCCCCAUGCAACCUGAUUGAGCUUCAGAGGAUCUGCAGAGAAUAAUGGGAGAAACUCACCAAAUACAGGAUGUCGGUGGGCCGAGCUGUGAGAGUCUUCAGCGAAAUGGAACACACCUGGGCUCGGAUGUGUCCCGGGGUUAAAUACACCUUUCCCCCAUACAUCGAGGUCACUCUCCAUGCAGACACACUGUUGUCUUUUUUUGUGGCAUUUUGGGGCGUCUUUGUUUUUGUUUUGGCACCUCUCAACACCCCUCAUUAUCACCAUCUAUGCACUCAUCCUUUCACUUACAAUACUGACUACACACGCCAUUGUUAUUUGUAUAUAGGUUACUUUAUUUAAUAAAUAUACGUUACUUAUUUCUUUA